rnacentral:rRNA from 1 species
AUUGAACGCUGGCGGCAGGCCUAACACAUGCAAGUCGAGCGAGCGGCGGACGGGUGAGUAAUGUAUGGGGACUGCCCGAUAGAGGGGGAUAACUACUGGAAACGGUAGCUAAUACCGCAUACUAUCGGAUAACCCAUAUGGGAUUAGCUAGUAGGUGGGGUAAUGGAUCACCUAGGCGACGAUCCCCAGCUGGUCUGAGAGGAUGCUCAGCCAGACUGGGAGUGAGACACGGCCCAGACGACUACGGAGGCAGCAGUGGGGAAUAUUGCACAAUGGGGGAAAGCCUGAUGCAGCCAGGCCGCGGGUAUGAAGAAGGCCCGAGGGUUGUAAAGUACUUUCAGUCGGGAGGCGUUACCGACAGAAGAAGCACCGGCUAACUCCGUGCCAGCAGCCGCGGUAAUAC